UACGGAGGGUGCGAGCGUUAAUCGGAAUUACUGGGCGUAAAGCGUGCGUAGACGGUUAUCUAAGUCGGAUGUGAAAGCCCCGGGCUCAACCUGGGAAUUGCAUUCGAGACUGAAUAGCUGGGGUGCGGUAGAGGGAAGCGGAAUUUCCGGUGUAGCGGUGAAAUGCGUAGAUAAUCGGAAGGAACAUCAGUGGCGAAAGCGGCUUCCUGGACCAGCACCGACGUCAGGCACGAAAGCGUGGGGAGCAAACAGGG
rnacentral:rRNA from 1 species